GAAAUGCGAUAAGUAAUGUGAAUUGCAGAAUUCAGUGAAUCAUCGAAUCUUUGAACGCACCUUGCGCUCCUUGGUAUUCCGAGGAGCAUGCCUGUUUGAGUGUCAUGGUAUUCUCAACCUUCAAGGCUUUUUUAAUUAAAAGCAGUGAAGGCUUGGACUUGGAGGUUUUGUGUUGGCGCAAGUCAACUCCUCUGAAAUGCAUUAGUGUGAGCCUUUACGGAUCGCCUUCAGUGUGAUAAUUAUCUACGCUGUGGUGUUGAAGUAUUAUAUAAAAGUGUUCAUGCUUCUAACUGUCUAGCCAAUGGACAACAAUAAAAUGAAUUUUUUAUUGACAAUCUGACCUCAAAUCAGGUAGGACUACCCGCUGAACUUAA
rnacentral:rRNA from 1 species